CGAGUGGCGGACGGGUGAGUAACGCGUGAGCAACCUGUCCCAGACAGGGGAAUAACACUUGGAAACAGGUGCUAAUACCGCAUAAGGACCACGGGGGUCGCAUGGGCUCUGGGGGUAAAAAGGAGUAAUCCGGUUUGGGGUGGGCUCGCGUCCGAUUAGAUAGUUGGUGAGGUAAUGGCCCCACCAAGUCGACGAUCGGUAGCCGACCUGAGAGGGUGAUCGGCCACAUUGGAACUGAGAGACGGUCCAAACUCCUACGGGAGGCAGCAGUGGGGAAUAUUGGGCAAUGGGCGAAAGACCCCUGACCCAGCAACGCCGCGUGAGUGAAGAAGGCUUUCGGGUUGUAAAGCUCUGUUAUGAGGGACGAAGGAAGUGACGGUACCUCAUAAGGAAGCCCCGGCUAACUACGUGCCAGCAGCCGC
rnacentral:rRNA from 1 species